rnacentral:lncRNA from 1 species
CAGCAACACAGCUGGACGUUCCUUUGCUUACUGAUGGGAGAUUCAUAAGAUACUUGCUCUUGGAGCCCACCUGCCCUGCUGGGAGGUGCUGGGAACACCUGGAGAGCCAUGUGCAGCUGUGUGGCCAGCAAUCCCAGCUUUGUUCCCAGCCAGCUGCCAGACCUGGGAGUGAGGAAGCCUUCCAGAAGACCCCAGCUUAGUCCCCAUCUGACAGCGACCUCAUGAGAUAUCCUGAGUGAGAUCUAC